rnacentral:lncRNA from 1 species
CGGGGGCUGGGUGGACAUGGGUGUUCACAGACAUUGGAGGGAUCCCGGGGACCACUGAGGGAGUUGAGGGGCCCCAGCCCUCACCGGGCUCCAGCGGAUGAGGUGGUCGGUGCCUGGGUCGCCUACCAGCGCCCAUAGCUUGCCGAGGAAGGCAGGUACCGGGCUGGGGCCUGGCUCCGUGGGCAGCGCAGCUGGCGCUUCCUGCAUGGCGCAGUCUCGGCCGGGCUCAGCGUUCCAGCCCGGCCGCUGCGGGCUUGUCAAAGCCGUGAAAGUGCUGCGUUUGCCGCCCGCCCCGCCCUACUCCGCCCCUGGGCGCCGGGUCAGGCGGGGGCCGCGUGCGAACCCUAGAGGCGGGGCUCGGACAGCGGCCCAGCCACGGGCAGAGAGAAAGGACUGGCUGAAACGUAGGUGUGUGGGUGGGCGAGCCCACGUUCGAGUCUCAUCCUUCUCAAGUUCCUCUCUGUCUGUGUUGUUUGGGAGAAAACAUCUGUGGGCUUGGAAAGGACUAGUUCAUCUGUGGACAUAGUGGAACCUAGGUAAGGGCGGGCAGAUAGAGUGGUGGGUGAAGUUGCACUUGCCCGGUCUGCGAGAAGGCUAGGGAACUGGUCAGUCUCGGGGUAUAGGGUGCCCGGAUCCCGAUCCCCCACAGUCACAGUACAAAGGCCCUUGAGGUCUCCUUCUUGAAUGUCCGGUGGGACUGUCCUUCCAGCCUUUGUGUAUUUCCUGCCCUCCCUUUCACAGCCGACUAGAGAUCACAGGACGCAGGAAUAUUAAAGGAUUUAUUUACUUUA